CAUUAUUCAUCCUGUUUUCUAAGUAUAUUACUGGAUUAGACAUAUUUAUCAAUUUCCAAAAUGGUGUGAAGACUGUCAUGGAAGAAGAGUUAAAUGGAGAACAUGAAAACUCAUACGAAAAUCUGUUAAAGGAUAACGUUGCUGAUCUUCGCAAUAUUCUGAAUCCUACAUUCUGAUUUGCGGUAACUAACGGUGCUUGAAAUGGCUUAAGAUAUUGAGAGGAUGUUGGUCUGGAGACUUCUUCUGUAUCUACUGGCCUUCAGGCCUCGUGCCAGGCACUGACAAUAUCGGGUGAG